UACGGGAGGCAGCAGUAGGGAAUAUUGGACAAUGGGCGAAAGCCUGAUCCAGCAAUGCCGCGUGAGUGAUGAAGGCCUUAGGGUUGUAAAGCUCUUUUACCCGGGAUGAUAAUGACAGUACCGGGAGAAUAAGCUCCGGCUAACUCCGUGCCAGCAGCCGCGGUAAUACGGAGGGAGCUAGCGUUGUUCGGAAUUACUGGGCGUAAAGCGCACGUAGGCGGCUAUUCAAGUCAGAGGUGAAAGCCCGGGGCUCAACCCCGGGAACUGCCUUUGAAACUAGAUAGCUUGAAUCCAGGAGAGGUGAGUGGAAUUCCGAGUGUAGAGGUGAAAUUCGUAGAUAUUCGGAAGAACACCAGUGGCGAAGGCGGCUCACUGGACUGGUAUUGACGCUGAGGUGCGAAAGCGUGGGGAGCAAACAGGGAUUAGAUACCCGU
rnacentral:rRNA from 1 species